rnacentral:SRP_RNA from 2 species
GUUCAGAGACUAUGGACUAUCGACUAACGAAUCCGCCAGGGCCUGACGGCAGCAACGGCAGUUUGUUCGAGAGUGCCGUAGUUCUCUGACAGCC